AUGAACGCUGGCGGCGUGCCUAAGACAUGCAAGUCGAGUGGGUUUAGGCCCACGGCGAACGGGUGAGUAAUACCUAGGAACUUUUCUUUAGUUGAGGAUAUCCCACCGAAAGGUGGAGCAAUACUCAAUGUGGCCGUAAGGCUAAAGUCGCAAGACGCUAAAGGUGAGGCCUGGGCACCAUCAGCUAGUUGGUAGGGUAAAAGCCUACCAAGGCUAUGACGGUUAGGGGCCCCGAGAGGGGAAACCCCCACACUGGGACUGCGACACGGCCCAGACUCCUACGGGAGGCAGCAGUUUGGAAUUUUGGACAAUGGGCGAAAGCCUGAUCCAGCGACGCCGCGUGGACGAUGAAGGCCUUCGGGUUGUAAAGUCCUUUUGCUCGGGAACAAUUUUUGAGCGUACCGAGAGAAUAAGAGGUUGCUAACUCUGUGCCAGCAGCAGCGGUAAUACAGAGACCUCAAGCGUUAUCCGGAAUCAUUGGGCGUAAAGCGUACCGAUCGGUUGUUUAGAAAGUCAGAAGUGAAAUCUCUCAGCUUAACUGGGAGACUGUCUUUUGAAACUUCUAAGCUAGAGGGACAAAGAGGAAGCCGGAACGAACGGUGUAGUAGUGAAAUGCGUUGAUAUCGUUCGGAACACCAAUAGCGAAGGCAGGCUUCUGGGUGUCACCUGACACUGCUAGGACGAAAGCGUGGGGAGCGAAUGGGAUUAGAUACCCCAGUAGUCCACGCUGUAAACGAUGUAUAUUAGGCGCUAGGGAGUAUCGACCCUUCUUAGUGCCAAAGCUAACGCGUUAAAUAUACCGCCUGGGGAGUACGGCCGCAAGGCUAAAACUCAAAGGAAUUGACGGGGACCUGCACAAGCGGUGGAGCAUGUGGUUUAAUUCGACGGUAAGCGAGGAACCUUACCAAGUCUUGACAUAUACCUGCAUCACUCAGAAAUGAGUGCGCCUUCGAGGGUGGUAUACAGGUGCUGCACGGUUGUCGUCAGCUCGUGCCGUGAGGUGCUCACUUAAGUGUGAAAACGAGCGCAACCCCUAUUAUCAGUUACAAGUGUCUGAUGAAACUGCCCGCGUUUAAGCGGGAGGAAGGUGGGGAUGACGUCAAAUCAGCGUGGCUCUUACGACUUGGGCGACACACGUGCUACAAUGGGAAGGACAAAGGGACGCCAAGGAGCAAUCCGGAGCAAAUCCUAUCAAUACUUCCCCCAGUUCGGAUUGAGGGCUGCAACUCGCCCUCAUGAAGCCGGAAUCGCUAGUAACCGUAGAUCAGCCUCGCUACGGUGAAUACGUUCUCAGGUUUUGUACACACCGCCCGUCAAGCCAUGGAAGCGGGAAGCGGCUGAAGUACCCCUCGGGGUCCUAGGCCGAAGCUCGUAACUGGGGCU
rnacentral:rRNA from 1 species